CCUACGGGAGGCAGCAGUGAGGAAUAUUGGUCAAUGGACGCAAGUCUGAACCAGCCAAGCCGCGUGCAGGAAGACGGCUCUAUGGGUUGUAAACUGCUUUUGUACGGGGGUAAACGCAGACACGCGUGCCUUUCUGAAAGUAUCGUACGAAUAAGGAUCGGCUAACUCCGUGCCAGCAGCCGCGGUAAUACGGAGGAUGCAAGCGUUAUCCGGAUUUAUUGGGUUUAAAGGGUGCGUAGGCGGGCGGAUAAGUUAGCGGUGAAAUCCCGAGGCUCAACCUUGGAAUUGCCGUUGAUACUGGUCGGCUAGAGAGUAGUUGAGGUAGGCGGAAUGUAUGGUGUAGCGGUGAAAUGCUUAGAGAUCAUACAGAACACCGAUUGCGAAGGCAGCUUACCAAGCUACUACUGACGUUGAGGCACGAAAGUGUGGGGAGCAAACAGGAUUAGAUACCCCUGUAGUC
rnacentral:rRNA from 1 species